rnacentral:rRNA from 1 species
CACGUAGGGCGCAAGCGUUGUCCGGAAUUAUUGGGCGUAAAGAGCUCGUAGGCGGUCUGUUGCGUCCGCUGUGAAAACUCGGGGCUUAACCCCGAGCCUGCAGUGGAUACGGGCAGACUAGAGGUAGGUAGGGGAGAAUGGAAUUCCAGGUGUAGCGGUGAAAUGCGUAGAUAUCUGGAGGAACACCGGUGGCGAAGGCGGCAUCCUGGACCGGCAUUGACGCUGAGGCGCGAAAGCCAGGGGAGCAAACGGG